rnacentral:rRNA from 1 species
UAAGGAAUAUUGGUCAAUGGACGGAAGUCUGAACCAGCCAUGCCGCGUGGAGGAUGAAGGCUCUCUGGUUUGUAAACUUCUUGUAUUUGGGACGAAACACUCUUUAUCUAGAGAGCUUUACGGUACCAGAUGAAUAAGCACCGGCUAACUCCGUGCCAGCAGCCGCGGUAAUACGGAGGGUGCAAGCGUUAUCCGGAUUCACUGGGUUUAAAGGGUGCGUAGGCGGAUUUGUAAGUCCGUGGUGAAAUCUCUAAGCUUAACUUGGAAAUUGCCGUGGAUACUAUCAGUCUUGAAUAUUGUGGAGGUUAACGGAAUAUGUCAUGUAGCGGUGAAAUGCAUAGAUAUGACAUAGAACACCAAUUGCGCAGGCAGCUGGCUACACAACUAUUGACGCUGAGGCACGAAAGCGUGGGGAUCAAACA